ACGCGAGGAACCUUACCCGGGCUUGAACUGCAGGAGAAGGAUACAGAGAUGUUGACGCCCUUCGGGGCUCCAGUGGAGGUGCUGCAUGGUUGUCGUCAGCUCGUGCCGUGAGGUGUCGGCUUAAGUGCCAUAACGAGCGCAACCCUUUUCUUCAGUUGCCAUCAGGUUAAGCUGGGCACUCUGGAGACACUGCCACCGUAAGGUGUGAGGAAGGUGGGGAUGACGUCAAAUCAGCACGGCCCUUACGUCCGGGGCUACACACGUGUUACAAUGGGUGGUACAGAGAGUCGGUCGUCUGCAAAUGCGAUCCAAUCCUUAAAGCCAUCCUCAGUUCGGAUUGGGGUCUGCAACCCGACCCCAUGAAGCUGGAUUCGCUAGUAAUCGCGCAUCAGCCAUGGCGCGGUGAAUACGUUCCCGGGUCUUGUACACACCG
rnacentral:rRNA from 1 species